rnacentral:rRNA from 2 species
UACGUAGGGGGCGAGCGUUGUCCGAAGUUACUGGGCGUAAAGAGCGCGUAGGCGGGUUGGCAAGUCCGCUGUGAAAGCCCGGGGCUUAACCCCGGAGGGUCGGUGGAUACUGCCAGUCUUGAAGAUACUAGGGGAAGAUGGAAUUACCGGUGUAGCGGUGAAAUGCGUAGAUAUCGGUAGGAACACCCGUGGCGAAGGCGGUCUUCUGGGGUAGUCUUGACGCUGAGGCGCGAAAGCUGGGGGAGCGAACGGG